rnacentral:rRNA from 1 species
AGGGGAUAUUGCACAAUGGUCGCAAGCCUGAUGCAGCGACGCCGCGUGAGGGAUGAAGGCCUUCGGGUUGUAAACCGCUUUCAGCCGGGACGAAGGGUUUCUGACGGUACCUGCAGACGAAGCACCGGCUAACUACGUGCCAGCAGCCGCGGUGAUACGUAGGGUGCGAGCGUUGUCCGGAAUUAUUGGGCGUAAAGAGCUUGUAGGCGGUCCGUCACGUCGGAAGUGAAAACUCAGGGCUUAACCCUGAGCCUGCUUUCGAUACGGGCAGACUUGAGGGAUGUAGGGGAGAACGGAAUUCCUGGUGGAGCAGUGGAAUGCGCAGAUAUCAGGAGGAACACCAGUGGCGAAGGCGGUUCUCUGGACAUUUCCUGACGCUGAGAAGCGAAAGCGUGGGGAGCAAACA